rnacentral:tRNA from 1 species
UACGAUUUAUUUUAAGAAGAAUUUUUAUUUUUGGUGUAGAAGGUUUUGUCGUAA